CAACUUUUAGCAACGGAUCUCUUGGCUCUCGCAUCGAUGAAGAACGCAGCGAAAUGCGAUAAGUAAUGUGAAUUGCAGAAUUCAGUGAAUCAUCGAAUCUUUGAACGCACCUUGCGCUCCUUGGUAUUCCGAGGAGCAUGCCUGUUUGAGUGUCAUGGUA
rnacentral:rRNA from 1 species